rnacentral:rRNA from 1 species
GAUGAUUAUCUAGCUUGCUAGAUAUGAUUAGUGGCGGACGGGUGAGUAACAUUUAGGAAUCUGCCUAGUAGUGGGGGAUAGCUCGGGGAAACUCGAAUUAAUACCGCAUACGACCUACGGGUGAAAGGGGGCGCAAGCUCUUGCUAUUAGAUGAGCCUAAAUCAGAUUAGCUAGUUGGUGGGGUAAAGGCCCACCAAGGCGACGAUCUGUAACUGGUCUGAGAGGAUGAUCAGUCACACCGGAACUGAGACACGGUCCGGACUCCUACGGGAGGCAGCAGUGGGGAAUAUUGGACAAUGGGGGCAACCCUGAUCCAGCCAUGCCGCGUGUGUGAAGAAGGCCUUUUGGUUGUAAAGCACUUUAAGCAGGGAGGAGAGGCUAAUGGUUAAUACCCAUUAGAUUAGACGUUACCUGCAGAAUAAGCACCGGCUAACUCUGUGCCAGCAGCCGCGGUAAUACAGAGGGUGCGAGCGUUAAUCGGAAUUACUGGGCGUAAAGCGAGUGUAGGUGGCUCAUUAAGUCACAUGUGAAAUCCCCGGGCUUAACCUGGGAACUGCAUGUGAUACUGGUGGUGCUAGAAUAUGUGAGAGGGAAGUAGAAUUCCAGGUGUAGCGGUGAAAUGCGUAGAGAUCUGGAGGAAUACCGAUGGCGAAGGCAGCUUCCUGGCAUAAUAUUGACACUGAGAUUCGAAAGCGUGGGUAGCAAACAGGAUUAGAUACCCUGGUAGUCCACGCCGUAAACGAUGUCUACUA